rnacentral:rRNA from 1 species
CAAUAGCGUAUAUUAAAGUUGUUGCAGUUAAAAAGCUCGUAGUUGGACCUUGGGCCUGGACGGGCGGUCCGCCUCACGGCGUGUACUGUCUUGCCGGGCCUUUCCUCUUGGUGAUCUGUUGUUUCGGCAGCAGGGAACCAGGACCUUUACUUUGAAAAAAUUAGAGUGUUCAAAGCAGGCUCGACGCCGGAAUAUAUUAGCAUGGAAUAAUAAAAUAGGACGUGCGGUUCUAUUUUGUUGGUUUUUGGAAUCGCCGUAAUGAUUAAUAGGGACAGUCGGGGGCAUUAGUACUCACAUGCUAGAGGUGAAAUUCUUGGAUUUUGUGAAGACUAACUUCUGCGAAAGCAUUUGCCAAGGAUGUUUNCAUUAA